rnacentral:tRNA from 1 species
GCCUGGGUGGCUCAAUCGGUUAAGCAUCUGACUUCGGCUCAGGUCAUGAUCUCAUGGUUCAUGGGUUCAAGCCCCUCAUUGGCU